rnacentral:rRNA from 1 species
AGAGUUUGAUCCUGGCUCAGGACGAACGCUGGCGGCGUGCUUAACACAUGCAAGUCGAGCGGUAAGGCCUUUCGGGGUACACGAGCGGCGAACGGGUGAGUAACACGUGGGUGAUCUGCCCUGCACUUCGGGAUAAGCCUGGGAAACUGGGUCUAAUACCGGAUAUGACCUCCUAUCGCAUGGUGGGUGGUGGAAAGAUUUAUCGGUGCAGGAUGGGCCCGCGGCCUAUCAGCUUGUUGGUGGGGUAAUGGCCUACCAAGGCGACGACGGGUAGCCGACCUGAGAGGGUGACCGGCCACACUGGGACUGAGACACGGCCCAGACUCCUACGGGAGGCAGCAGUGGGGAAUAUUGCACAAUGGGCGAAAGCCUGAUGCAGCGACGCCGCGUGAGGGAUGACGGCCUUCGGGUUGUAAACCUCUUUCAGCAGGGACGAAGCGCAAGUGACGGUACCUGCAGAAGAAGCACCGGCUAACUACGUGCCAGCAGCCGCGGUAAUACGUAGGGUGCAAGCGUUGUCCGGAAUUACU